GACGAACGCUGGCGGCGUGCCUAAUACAUGCAAGUCGAGCGGACAGAAGGGAGCUUGCUCCCGGAUGUUAGCGGCGGACGGGUGAGUAACACGUGGGUAACCUGCCUGUAAGACUGGGAUAACUCCGGGAAACCGGAGCUAAUACCGGAUAGUUCCUUGAACCGCAUGGUUCAAGGAUGAAAGACGGUUUCGGCUGUCACUUACAGAUGGACCCGCGGCGCAUUAGCUAGUUGGUGAGGUAACGGCUCACCAAGGCGACGAUGCGUAGCCGACCUGGGCGGGUGAUCGGCCACACUGGGACUGAGACAAGGCCCAGACUCCUAAGGGAGGCAGCAGUAGGGAAUUUUCCGCAAUGGACGAAAGUCUGACGGAGCAACGCCGCGUGAGUGAUGAAGGUUUUCGGAUCGUAAAGCUCUGUUGUUAGGGAAGAACAAGUGCAAGAGUAACUGCUUGCACCUUGACGGUACCUAACCAGAAAGCCACGGCUAACUACGUGCCAGCCGCCGCGGUAA
rnacentral:rRNA from 1 species